AGGCAUUUCUUGACUUGCUGUGUUUGGCUGACCAAGACUGCUUGAAGGUCCCGGGGUCCUUAGAGCUCACCCACCUAAGAGCUCAUCUAGUGUCCAGGAGUGAGAUCUGAGUAGGCUGAUGGGCUAGGAGGACAGCACCGGCGAGAGAAAAAGGGAGUGGAAGCGUCUCCUCCAGCCUGUUGAAGCUCCAGCAGCCUCGCCUUCCUGGAUUGGCAGGAGCAUCUGUGCCCUGCCCCUCUUCAGAAGAUGAUUUUACAUCCUAGUGUCUCUCCCAUUUUAAUGUUAGCUCCCCUUAAAAUGUAGAUCGGGAAGACACCAGAGAACAGAGUCUAAAGCAAGUAGCUGUACUUUCUGACUUUGCUCGUUCACAUGAGACUCCUUGCAGAGCUGUAGCCCUCGUGGUACAUGCGCCUUCAGGGCUGAGGUCUCCUCGGGGACAAAUUCACACCAUCUACCUGCUCUGAUUAUUUUUAUAAAGGCCAAUUCUUUAUAUACCCAUUGAGCAAUUGAACACUAAGCACUAAUCUUCCCCCCAAAACUCUUGAGUUUCAUUCUAUCACCUCAUUUUAAAACUGAGGACAUGUCUUA
rnacentral:lncRNA from 1 species